rnacentral:rRNA from 1 species
UACGUAGGCAGCGAGCGUUGUUCGGAAUUACUGGGCGUAAAGCGUGCGCAGGCGGUGGUCCAAGUCUGGUGUGAAAUCUCCCGGCUCAACUGGGAGGGUGCGCCGGAAACUGGGCCGCUGGAGUACGGGAGAGGCAAGCGGAAUUCCAGGUGUAGCGGUGAAAUGCGUAGAUAUCUGGAGGAACACCCGUGGUGCAGACGGCUUGCUGGACCGUGACUGACGCUGAGGCACGAAAGCGUGGGUAGCAAACAGG